CGCGAGUCUACUGUCAAACUUGCCGAUCAACCGCAUCGUAUUUAUUGUGUACGUUCGUUUGUAAUUUGUGUAUAGACUAUUCAUGUGUGCGAUUGCUGCCUCCUAGCACGUAGUGCUGCGCUAGAGGUCUACACGCAUUAGCAUUGAUUGCAUGCAGUGACCGAGAGGUAUUGUUUUGAUUUCAGCCGAGCCGAGUGGAUCUUUGACUUUGUAAAACCCUCUAAAGAAACAAAGAAUAUGUAGGCAGGGCCAUGAAACCUUCAUGUAGCCUUACCUUCAAGUAACCUCCAGCUCCCCUUCUCAACUUCAUGACUUGGCAGAUGUCCUAAUGCAUGAUACACAUUGGUCGAGCAUUGAAGAACGGCCGACACUGCUGGCGGCCGCUGCCGAGCCUGGCCAGGCUUACGUGAUGUGACCUCGUACUUGGUGUUGAAGCUGUCUGGUCAUUCCCUCAGAGCGAUCACAGAUUCUACAUCCCACCAUGGCUCUGUGGAGUGUUCACCAACCCUAGUGCCCAAGCAGAUUUGUCUUCAUGCAACUAGAAUGGCGCUCCCUUAAAUAUGUCAACAUUGGCUACCAGUGUUCUUCAGUUUGGAUGGUGAUUUCAUAGUGAAGGAGUCAGGAAGCCCGAAAGUAGUGUAAAACUAGCACUCUGGUUACAAUAUGGUACACACGAUAGGGUUAACUUGUACUUAGUACAUUAAUUCCUGGUGUUCCAGAGAAUAGUGCUUUCAAUGCUUAGACAAUUUAAAGUAUAUGUUUUAGAAGUUGUGAAUAAGUGAAAAGUUCAGAUAAUUGGCAAUAGACCUGUUUCCUUACAUAUUCAAAUUUAUAUGCAUACUUUUUUAAUUACAUUUGAUGUUGCAUAGUACAACAUUACAUGUAUCAUUGCAACAUUACCUGCAUAUUUUGUGCCUAUUUUCGACUUGGUUAGUCCAUGUCAUACGUGCAUCUUCAUCAUUAUUAUGCAAGUUAUGAACUCCAUGUAGAUUUUCACAUUUCACUUGUUUCCAAUAAUGUUCAUUCAUGUACACAUUUGAACAAUUGCGUGUUAUUGGCGCAUGAUUGAACCAAAGAUGACAGUAAACAUAAAGUAAUGGCUUUCAAAACAGAUUGUUUUAUUAUUUAUACAAAGCUUUAUAUUUAUUGAAGAAGUAUUAGAUGUACAAUGAAAAGUAUGUGAGACAUGGAUAUAAGUAUUUAUUUGAGUCUUUCGUUUUUGUAUACAUGUUAAGUUAAGUAUACAAGUACAUUUAACACACAAAUAUACAGUGUUAUUGCAUUGAAGAAAAAAAAGAAGCAUUCCUGUUUUGUAUGCAAGUUACAUAAUGGAAGUAUCUUGCCUAUUGUAUCUGAAGUGAAGUGGCAAUUAUAAUAUGCAGAUUGAGAAUUGUUUUUAAAAUGAAA
rnacentral:lncRNA from 1 species